UUGUGUGUGUUGGACCCAAUUUUCACAAAUCAUAAAGUGAAGAUGACACAAUUGAGACUUGAUAACAACAUUCUAAUCAGUCCCUCUAUAUUUUUGAUCAUCUCUCACAUUUGCUUUCUUGUAACGGUCAUAUUACAAGCUCCUCUAAACAGGAGGGUGUGCCUGCUUCCGGUAGAUAGUGACUGGCGAAUUAUUAACCGGCUCUGACUUGACCACUGCGGGCGGCUGUCCGUCAAGUCCAGUCGAGCGCUUCCGCCAAGUCCACUCGGAACGGGAGAGGAAGGCAAUUUAUGUCCGUCAAAGAACUGGCCUCCACCUCAGGGACAAGGAUGCAGCGGGAAGCGAAAUGCACGGGUUGCAUGCUGAGCACCUCGCUGAGCUGCCGGGGACAGGCGCUCAAGGGUCCCCGUGGCGUCUGUAUGAAUCUUCAUGCUGCUGACUGGGCCGCAGCUUUAUCGACUUUCUUUAAAAUAUGAAGAAGCUUUGCUGGAAGCGCCUGAGGUCAUUAGCUGAAGAGUCGGCACAAAUCCUUCACCGAGCCUGCUCCGGCUUCGCCAUGUUAAAUGUGCUCUUAAAAUAUUCAUAAUCAUACUCUUGCCUGCACGCACGCACACUUGCACUCACACAUUUUGCAGACAAUGCUCCGGGGAUAGAAGGAGAUCAAUAUUAAAAUAUAUUCCUGUACUGGUGUGCUGUUAAUUAGCUGCGGUUCUUUUCAACCAUGAAGUUUGCGGGCAGAUUAACAGAUUUUUUUUUUCUUCUUUGCAACACCACAAUAUUUACUCCCGCUUCAUCCCUGUCAACAUCGAUGAAUCAUAUGUGAAUGGGUGUUGACUACGGCAAAUGUUUUUUUUUUGUCUCCCCUUUACUGUUGUAAUUUAUUCGGAGGAUUAACUAUUGAUGUAAAAUAGGCAAUUGUCUAUUAUUUGUACAAAAACAUGUACUUGUUCAAUUCACUGUCAAUCAGCAUUAAAUUCCUCAUUAAUGA